rfam:Ovis aries breed Texel chromosome 2, whole genome shotgun sequence.
AAACAGGAUCUUUUUGGAUCCACCUCUUAGAGUUAUGAAAAUAAAG